rnacentral:rRNA from 1 species
UACGGGGGGAGCAAGCGUUGUUCGGAUUUACUGGGCGUAAAGCGUGCGCAGGCGGUUUUGUAAGUCUGUCGUGAAAUCCCCGGGCUCAACCUGGGAAUUGCGAUGGAGACUGCAAGGCUAGAAUCUGGCAGAGGGGGGUAGAAUUCCACGUGUAGCAGUGAAAUGCGUAGAGAUGUGGAGGAACACCGAUGGCGAAGGCAGCCCCCUGGGUCAAGAUUGACGCUCAUGCACGAAAGCGUGAGGAGCAAACAGG